GCGGACGUGGUGGAAUUGGUAGACACACUGGAUUUAGGUUCCAGCGCCGCAAGGUGUGAGAGUUCGAGUCUCUCCGUCCGCACCA
rnacentral:tRNA from 10 species